GUGGAGCUUUUGUUUAGACCUUCUUAGUCGCCACUAUUUCGUUUGUUUGGUAUUGUUUAAAUUUUUAUGUAAAUCCAAAUCUACCCAAGCCCUAGUAAAUCGACUUAAUGCGGAAUUGACCUUUCUGAGGGCUUUCUUUAAGGUAGCAAUUUCACAAUUUUGCUUCAGAUCUGAAAUCCUAUAUGAUAUCAACGCCUCUCCGCUACUGAAUACGGUCCUUAUCUCCAAAAUCGCGACACAGAUUCUUCAAAGAUGGGAGCUGGUUGCCAAGAAGGAAUUUGAAGAUAUUUUGUGGGUUUUUUUUGGCCAUGUUUAUAUACAACUACAAUGUAUUAUGAAGUAUUAUGUACACUUCACAUUAUGAUAUCUGUUACACCCCGUAGUAUUGUACGUUGGAUUUGUAGUAAGAUAAUUGACAUCAGUUCAAGGACAAGAUUAUUUUGAGGUUA